CAAGAAAUAGUUUAAUUAGAACUUCAGUUUUGGGUACUGAUAGCGGGGCCUAUGUCUCUUUCUUGA